rfam:Rhizobiales bacterium TMED227 110065, whole genome shotgun sequence.
GCCGGCUUAGCUCAGUUGGUAGAGCGGCUGAUUUGUAAUCAGUAGGUCGGGAGUUCAAAUCUCUCAGCCGGCA